rnacentral:misc_RNA from 1 species
AACACAAUCCUCCUUUAAGGAUCCUGGCAAUGGCCAAGUCACGCUCCACAUCUGCGAAGAGGUCGCGCAAGAAGGCCGCUCCGCCACUGCCGCCGCCAGUCGUGAAGCCUGUCCGCACAAUUGAUGACCUUGAGCGGGACGUUACGUCACACGCAGGCUCCGCGCUGCUUGUCGUAGUGAGUCCUCUAGAUGCAGCUACCACCAACACCGUCGUUGAGGCAAUGGAGAGGCUGAACAGCAGCCGAUCAGCAUUGCUGACGGACAUCAACAUUGCUGUCUGCUACGCCCUUCCGACGACGUCAGAUGUGUGCCGCUCGCUUGGCGUGACCACGGUGCCGUUUGUGCAGAGCUACGCCUACGGCGAAGUCGUCGGCGAGUUCAUUGGCGACAACACGGAGAAAAUGGAGCUACUAGCGAAAAUGGCCGCAACCCAGGCCGCUGUGAAGGCUGCCCAGCUUGCUGAGGAGGAAAAGCAGCGACAGGUCGCCGCAGCGGAGGCACGGGAGGAUGCUGCUGCUGCUGCCGUAGCGGCUGCCGCGUAGCACGCUAGGAUGUGCCGGGGGCUCAUCCAAGCCGUGCUGCUCUCCCUCUUCUUCGUGACGUCAUUUGUGAGGAUGCCUAUGCUCCGGCUUUGUUUGAUGUACAUUAGGUGAUGGCCGGAUCUACCCAUUUCCUCCAUCCCAUCCUCUUCACCCCUUCUUUUUCUUUCGCUUUUGUGUUUGUGUUUGUGUAUGUGUGUGGGAGGUGGGGGGUGGGGGAAGGUGUGACCUUUCGCGUCUCCCCUCGCAUCUGGACCGAAAAAAAGAGAGGUGAAGGGGAUACGAUGGGGGGGAGGGCACAAGGGUUCUUUCUCUUGACUUCCCCUCAACUGCCCUCUACCACAUCCGUGACACGUCUGCUGGUGUCACGCAGGCGCAAGCCUGCCCGUGUCCGAGAAAACGAAGCAACGACAAGGAAGUUGAGUAGACAUCUUCAGAGGCUAUUAACGAGAUCGUCUUUGCGAGUGGCAACGCUGCAGAUCAGAUCUAGUUUCUCUGAGACGACCUCGUGUCGCUCUUCCAACAGGAGACAGUGGAUGCGUGCGCGUGCACGUUUUCCACUUGCUUCUGCUUCAGCUGUCCACCUGCAUGCCAGCACGACUGCUUUCUUUAUUUCGAUGUGCGGGAAUACAUUCGUAUUCCUCGAACGCCUGCGGGACGAGUUUUACUCGUUGUCUCCACUCCCACCUCGUACGUACACUCAAGCGCACUCUGCUUUGCCUCGGCUCUCUCUUUCCCUUCCUCAUCGGACUUGGCUCACACACACACACACACACACGCACGCCGUUCUUCGAAAACCUGACCCGCACAUCCCUUCCUCCCAUUUGCACCCCCCCCUUCUCAUCCACCUCUGCGCAG